GACGAACGCUGGCGGCGCGCCUAACACAUGCAAGUCGAACGGAGCUGCGAGAAGCUUGCUUUUCUUAGCUUAGUGGCGAACGGGUGAGUAACGCGUGAGUAACCUGCCCUGGAGUGGGGGACAACAGUUGGAAACGACUGCUAAUACCGCAUAAGCCCACGAUCCGGCAUCGGAUUGAGGGAAAAGGAUUUAUUCGCUUCAGGAUGGACUCGCGUCCAAUUAGCUAGUUGGUGAGGUAACGGCCCACCAAGGCGACGAUUGGUAGCCGGACUGAGAGGUUGAACGGCCACAUUGGGACUGAGACACGGCCCAGACUCCUACGGGAGGCAGCAGUGGGGGAUAUUGCACAAUGGGGGAAACCCUGAUGCAGCAACGCCGCGUGGAGGAAGAAGGUUUUCGGAUUGUAAACUCCUGUCGUUAGGGACGAUAAUGACGGUACCUAACAAGAAAGCACCGGCUAACUACGUG
rnacentral:rRNA from 1 species